AGCCUCCAAUAACCGCUACAAUAUAAACUUAUAUGAACACCACAUCAUUAAGAAAGUUUUGACCUAAUUGAGAGAUGAAUUAGAACCACAUACCUUUUUACAAUUGGUGCUAAUUGGGAAAUGAAAGAAAUCAUAUGGUUAUUUAUACCUCAGUUGUAACUUGACAUUAGCUAAUAAAAACUUAAAUCAUAUGGACACACAGCCAG